rnacentral:rRNA from 1 species
AUUGAACGCUGGCGGCAGGCCUAACACAUGCAAGUCGAGCGGGGUUUUCGGACCUAGCGGCGGACGGGUGAGUAAUGCGUAGGAAGCUGCCCGAUAGAGGGGGAUACCAGCUGGAAACGACUGUUAAUACCGCAUAAUGUCUACGGACCAAAGUGUGGGACCUUCGGGCCACAUGCUAUCGGAUGCGCCUACGUGGGAUUAGCUAGUUGGUGAGGUAAUGGCUCACCAAGGCGACGAUCUCUAGAUGGUUUGAGGGGUUGAUCAGCCACACUGGAACUGAGACACGGUCCAGACUCCUACGGGAGGCAGCAGUGGGGAAUAUUGGACAAUGGGCGCAAGCCUGAUCCAGCCAUGCCGCGUGUGUGAAGAAGGCCUUCGGGUUGUAAAGCACUUUCAGCGAGGAGGAAGGGGUGUGUGUUAAUAGUACACACCUUUGACGUUACUCGCAGAAGAAGCACCGGCUAACUCCGUGCCAGCCGCCGCCGUAACAC